UUUUUUCGUUUUUUUUUUCCGAAACGCGUGGGCUUCGCCUAGCGAGCAUGACAGUUCAUGAACAAACUUUUACUCCUUCAAGAUUAACGUUUUGACUGAUGAAUAGACCCCUGUUGGAAGUAACUCAAGUCUUUCCCUUGUGUUGACUGAUCAUCUAAAUAGAACCCACAAAGUGUCCUGGAUGAUGUUCAAGUUUCUUGGAGCUAAUCCCGAUUGACAUGAUGAAAUGCAAUGUAUCUAAUGUUAAAUGACCUAAAAAUGAAUGCGUGAAUAAGGAGGGCAAAUUUUGGGGUGUUACAGCUGCCCCUAUUCAGUCAUCAGCUAACCCGAGCAGGAUGAAAGCGAACAGCUUAUUAGACAAACAGGGUGAGCUGUGAUUGAAUACCAAAGACAGACCGAAAAU
rnacentral:lncRNA from 1 species